GCACUGGUGAGGAGUCCCACAAUAGGACGAAAUGGCCGUCCAGUGC
rnacentral:hammerhead_ribozyme from 1 species